rnacentral:lncRNA from 1 species
AACUCCUCAAGACUUCUUCCAUUCAGUAACAGCCAGAAUGCUCAUAAGCUCCAGGACUGGAGCUGCUGGCCUAAGAUCUGUUUGCUGCCUGAUGACAGUUCAUACUCAUGCAGAACUUGCCUUAGUCCUUUCUACCUUCUUGUGCAGUGCAUUCCUGACUUUGCUUGGUUUCUGAGUUGUGGGCUGUUGGUAGAGAUUGGGAGCCAGGGAUACCGUCCCUAACUCAAAAGAUUGAUCCAGGUCUGGGUGCAUCCUGAGUUUGCAUAGUGAUACUAACAGAUUCUUCAUUUGUUCCCUACUUGGCUCCUCCACUAGAGUGCACCUGUCAGAUCCACUGUGGUAACAUCAGUGCGGAGAACAGUGCUUGGCACACAGUAAGCGUUGAGUAAACUUUGGCUGAGUGAAUGAUAAAGAGCCAGCUCUGUGACCACAGGGAACCAACCCUUUUCUAGAUAAUGAGAUCACAGGAGGUGUGUGAUGCUGCCAGCAACAUGUACCUAGCGUACUCAGGCCUUUGUGAGGAUCUUUGCUUUUACAACAUCUGCCACUUCGAGCACUGUGGAGUAUGGCGUGUGUGGGUGUCUGGAGCUGGUGUGCUCGGUGUGAUCUGAACCUUUGUGGGCUGCUUCUCUCACCAACUCUGCAGUACUAGUCGAAGCAGUACAGGUUUCACCACUGUGUGGCGGUCCACCUGGCAAAGAUCACGUGCUUCUUUGUUGCCCUCCCUCCUGAUGACCAUGUUGGAAGUUUUCAGUUUUUCCGCACUUCCAGCAAUGAUUUAGGUGACAUCUAGAACACUGUCCUUGUAGAACAGGUAAGGGAUUUCCAGGCGUGGUUUUCAAUCUUGUUUAAUCUAGGCGGUAAAGGAAGCACAUUUACAUGGUGGCCUGCAUAUAUGUGUAUAUAAUUGGAGGUAAGGUCUGACGAAAAGGUACUUAAUAAGUGUGAGGGUUUUGGUUUGUGACUGGGGAUUGAACCCAAGUCUAGGAGAUUCCAGAGGUGAUCAGGGAAAUCUGUGAGCGGUUGGUCAACUCUGCCCUCACCAGUCCUAGUUUUUAGAGGCACACCUUCUUAGCCUUUCUGUUCUCCGCUGCAUUAAAACCUAUUGUACAAAGAACUUGAGGGGCUAGCAUUUCUGAGCUGAGAACUCCUUGGUUUUCCUGCAGCUUCUGGCCAGACCUGAGCCUCCCCCUAGCAUACUUGCAGCCAUCUCCUGGGCACCUAUUGAGGAAGCUGUUGUUAAACUUUUUCCACUAGGUUGUUAUGAAUGCUGAUCCUUGAUGUAAUGACUCCAGGGAGCAUUUACAUGUUCCCUACCUGGUUUCUAUUUUGACAAGUUUCUGAAAUAUUGUAACAGAAAAGUUUGAGAAAGGGUAAUGAACACCCAUCACCCACCAUUUAGAUAUAGCAAUGAAUACAUGUAAUAGGUAACACAGUUAAUAUGUGUUCAUAAUAUGUGCCUUAAGUGCAGCAUAUGUGUCUUUAUCUACGUAUUUGUGUGUACAUACGUAUAUAUGUUUCUGUG